rnacentral:rRNA from 1 species
UACGGAGGGUGCGAGCGUUGUCCGGAAUCACUGGGCGUAAAGGGCGCGUAGGCGGUGGCCUAAGCGUGCGGUGAAAGGCCUGGGGCUCAACCCCGGGUCGGCCGUGCGAACUGGGCGACUCGAGCACUGUAGAGGCAGGCGGAAUUCCGGGUGUAGCGGUGGAAUGCGUAGAGAUCCGGAAGAACACCGGUGGCGAAGGCGGCCUGCUGGGCAGUAGCUGGACGCUGAGGCGCGACAGCGUGGGGAGCAAACGAGGAUUAGAAAACCCCGUGGUAAGUC